rnacentral:rRNA from 1 species
ACCGUGGCGGACGGGUGAGGAGCGCGUAGCUAACCUGCCCAGGUGUGGGGGAUAGGCCUCGGAAACGGGGUGUAAGACCGCAUACGCUCAUCUCUGGGGACGGAGGUGAGGAAAGGCCCUUUCGGGGGUCGCGCCUGGAGGGGGCUGCGUCCGAUUAGCUAGUUGGUGGGGUAAUGGCUUACCAAGGCGGUGAUCGGUCGCUGGUCUGAGAGGACGACCAGCCACACGGGGACUGAGACACGGCCCCGACUCCUACGGGAGGCAGCAGCAAGGAAUUUUCCGCAAUGGGCGAAAGCCUGACGGAGCAACGCCGCGUGCGGGAGGACGCCCUUCGGGGUGUAAACCGCUUUUCGGGGGGACGAAGGAAGUGACGGUACCCCCGGAAGAAGGCCCGGCUAACUACGUGCCAGCAGCCGCGGUAAGACGUAGGGGCCGAGCGUUGUCCGGAAUUACUGGGCGUAAAGGGCGCGCAGGCGGCCGGUCGCAUCGGCGGUGAAAGCCCCCCGCUCAACGGGGGAGGGUUCGUCGAGAUGGACUGGCUGGAGGCAGGGAGAGGGCGGUGGAAUUCCGGGUGUAGUGGUGAAAUGCGUAGAGAUCCGGAGGAACACCAGUGGCGAAGGCGGCCGCCUGGACCUGACCUGACGCUGAGGCGCGAAGGCGUGGGGAGCGAACGGGAUUAGAUACCCCGGUAGUCCACGCAGUAAACGAUGNNNNNNNNNNNNNNNNNGGCUAAAACUCAAAGGAAUUGACGGGGGCCCGCACAAGCAGCGGAGCGUGUGGUUUAAUUCGACGCAACGCGCAACACCUUACCAGGGCUUGACGUCCACCGAAUCCUCCUGAAAGGGAGGAGUGCCUUCGGGAGCGGUGAGACAGGUGCUGCAUGGCUGUCGUCAGCUCGUGUCGUGAGAUGUUGGGUUAAGUCCCGCAACGAGCGCAACCCUCGUCGCUAGUUACCAUGGUGUGUCUAGCGAGACUGCCGGACCAAACCGGAGGAAGGUGGGGAUGACGUCAAGUCAGCAUGGCCCUUACGCCCUGGGCGACACACACGCUACAAUGGCCGGGACAGUGGGCUGCCAAGCGGUAACGCGGAGCCAAUCCCCCAAACCCGGUCUCAGUUCAGAUUGAGGGCUGCAACUCGCCCUCAUGAAGGCGGAGUUGCUAGUAACCGCGGAUCAGCAUUGCCGCGGUGAAUAUGUUCCCGGGCCUUGUACACACCGCCCGUCACGUCAUGGAAGCCGGCAACACCUGAAGUCGGUGGGCCAACCGCAAGGAGGCAGCCGCCGAGGGUGGGGUUGGUGACUGGGACGAAGUCGUAACAAGGUAGCCGUAGCGGAAGCUGCGGCUG